AGUUUUUUUUUUUUUUUUUUUUUUUUGCAAUAUGUUCUUACG
rnacentral:ribozyme from 1 species